AGAAGGCUUCCUGUAAAAGCCUGUCUCACAAACAGUUAUCUGUGGAUGGAUUACUGGAGAAAGUAAUAUCUAAUCCUAACAUUGUGUCAAGUAAUUCCUCCUUAGUUGGGAAGCUAGGAAAUAUAAAUUAAUUUAAAUGCUAACCUAAACCAAGUAUAAUUGGAAAAGUAAAUGUUGCCCCCGAAGUCAGUCUUGUAAAGUCAGAAAGAGUUUUGUUGGAAGCUGUGCACAUUUCUUCCAGUACAGAUCAUCAAGAAUUGACAUUGUCUCCUAAAAGGGUAGAGCACUUCUCUAUCUUGCUGCUUCCUCCUGAGUUCCUUUUCCCAUCAUUCUUACUUAAGCUUGAUUCUUAGAGAAGCAACCUUAAAUCAUCUCUGAAUUAAGUGGUCCUGCCUCGUCAAGAAUUCCUGCAGAUUUCUCAUUGGGAUUCACUCAUUUUGGUUCAUUAUUAGUAGUUAUCCAUGAAAGGAUUCUUAUGUAAAGAAACUGGAUGGUAUAUUUCAUUGGUUUGGAAGCUUUAACAUUACUCCAGGACCCUUACCCUGGUCUUAGGCUGAUGGAGGAUCAACUAGCUCAAGCAGUUCUUUCAAAGCCAAGAGACUCAGCAAACAUUUAACACACAUACACACACCCACAUCCUACAAGCAUCCUCAUUCCUUUUGCUACCUUACGUCCACCCUUUCGUUAUCAACUAAAGACUUCAGCAUUCUUGGACCAAUUGCAUUGUAUUUCUGCUUUGCUUUUCUUCAGCAUGUUUAUAUAGUGUCACAUAUAAUGCACGCACUUGCAUGUUGCCUUUAAGCUGCUGUCUAGUUGUCUCAUGUGUCUGUGUUUUACUUCCCCCAGCUAAAUUCAUUGAGAGCAAGGACUGUGUUAACUUUUUGACACUUCUUUGAAGGUGCCCAAUGUGCUAGUACACACAGCUUAAUAAGUGUUUAUGAUUAAAUAAAUACGUUCAUGAAAUCCUAAGCAAGUGUAACCCAUAGCUUUGAUCUGAUAUGUAGUGUGGUCCUCCAGUCAAAUGGAGCUUAUUCCCACUUGAUGUAAGCCAAAAGGCCGAGAAGUAAUGGGGCUUAUUCCCAAAGUGCUGACUUCAAGGGUUCAUGCCCUCGCUUCCUUUUUUUUAAUGGAAAAUUUUGAGGGGAAAAAUGCAAGGACAGAACAAAUACCUUAUUAAUGAAAAUAGUAGCUAACUGUUAACUACUUUGAUUCACUUUAAUCCUCAAAUGGUAUUAGCCUCAUUUUGCAGUUUGAGAAAAUAGGCUCAGAGAUGUUAAAGUGACAGGCCCAGAAUUUGGAAUGCAUGUCUUCUGGUGACAAAUUUCUGUUUAUUUUACUACCACAUGGCUUUUUUUAAGCCAGCCUGCGUUUUCCAGUGGGGAGGUUACUAGGGGGAGGUUAAGUCUUUGACUCAAGUGAACAUCACCUGUAGUAUCCACCUGAUGCCACCAGGGUGUCCCAUGGUGCUAUCUUUCAUCCAACAUCUUAGCCAGGUUGCUGGGGGCUGCUUCAAAGAGUUAAUCUAGUAAUAGUGGCCAUGGCCCAGGGCCCAGCAGCAAGAAAGUGGGAUGUUUAGUUCCCUGGCUUUCCAGUGUGUAGUGUACAGCCAGCAUCGGAGAAGCCCUUGCCCUCUUUUGACCCCUACUAGUCAGUCUGGCCCCACAGAAGGAGAGCAUAUCAUAACAGUGGCCAGGGCCUGGCUAGCCACUCUAACUAGGCAGCAGCCUCACAAAGGACAGUGCAUAGAAAAGACCCUAUGAAUGCAUAAAUGUCUACAAAUGUGCAUUUAUUUUGGUAGCUGAGUACACGCUUACACAAAUUUGUGUUAGUAAAAUAGAUCCACAACACAAAACCAGAUUGAAUUGCUUUACCAUUCUAGGUAGAUGAGUUUUAAAAGCCAGUGUGUAGUGACUUCACACUUUUCCAGUUUACAAUAAAAGCCUGCAUUUCCACUUAGCCCUGAGUAUACAGCCUCUUCGGCAACAGUUUUGAUAAUCAGCAACCCUAGAUGACAAUCUUUGGUGUCAAAGCUAUCACUUAUGUGAGAACCAAUGAGGUGAAGUCUCAUUUUUAGUAUUAAAGAGAGCAAAUAUUCCCUUUAAAAAUGUGCUUCCUUCCCAGUGCUCUUUAAGUGCUUUGUACAAAUGUCUAACUGGUCUAUAAUUAUUUCAAGUUUUGAUUUCACCACUGGAGGAGAUCCUUAAAAGUAUCCCCAGUGACUGAGACGGUUCCUGGCAUUUAAUAGGUGAUCAAAAAAUAUUUGUUUCUUGAGAUAGCAAAGCCUCCAUAAUAGUUACGGGAUAGUGCUACACGUGAGCCACUGUUCUAAGGAGAAAGUUCACAUUAGGGAGGUCUUUGUUUUGUCUUCAAGCUGAUUAGAAUCCAUUGUGAACUGCAAAGUUAGUCCCUGGAGUGUCCUUGCCGGCCUUGCAAAAUCUUGACUGUGUCAUUCUAGGUUGGAAUUGGCACAGCCUGAAUUUGAGGCUGGAGCAGAGCUGAUUCUCUAGGUAUCACCCUUGCAGUAUUUCUAGGACCAGGUUUUUACCAGGGCUUUUAGAACCACCAGGAGAGACUUACUAAAUUAAAGUAAACGUUACUGAUUGGAGAUGUUGGACUUGUGGUGCCCUUUUCCCUCUCCUCUCCCUGUUUUCCUAGGUGAGUUUGCUCCCAAAAUUCCUGUGGUUUUUAAGGAGAUCACUGGAAUAAGUCCCAAACCCACUUCUAGUAGUCAAGCUUCCUUUUCAGUUUUCUCAACUCUUCUCUGGUGAGACAGCUAAUCAGAGAUUAUAGUACCAACUCGGACCCUUCCAUAUGCUUUGCGAAUUCUGGUCUUCUUUCUUCACGUCUAGCAGAGAACUUGCUGCCACUGCUUGGGCAACCAAGAGUGAAAUGUGUGAAGUAGUGGUUGUGGAUGGCAGGUAAGCUUGAUGUUUUAUUCACAGCUUAACGAGUAAAUGUUGAGUACAGCUGUUGUCCCUAUGUAGAGCUUUAAUGACCAGCCUGCCAGGUCCGUGCACCUGCUUUUAUGCCUGGACCAGAUGACUGACUGUAGAACUUUAGGCAGCUUCUAGUUCAGAGACUUUUCAGGGUUCAAGAAACAUCCUUAAAGGAGCUAAUUCCCUCUCCUGGAGCCUUAGUCAGAUUUUAUGCUGUCCUGGCCUUAUGUUGCCAUCUCUUGGCAUUGGUUUCUAGAAUCCUUCCUAAAGCUUAGUCUAGCUGGUCUUGUGAUGUCACACCAGUGUCUUAGGUUACCACUCCUCACUUCCCUCACCCAGGGAACAUACUACACAGGCUCCUCAACACCUCUUUCAUUUUUCUUUGUUCCUUUCACUACCAGGAAUGGAGGGAUCCUCAGCUGAAGAUCAGAUUGACCCAAUGAGGGUUUUUUUUCCCCUUUUUUAAAUCUAGGCUAAUGCAAGGGAGAAGAAGAAGUACCGACUGAGAAAGAGACAGCCAUAAAAUCUGCGUGUAUUAAUAUGCUAACUGUUUGGAGACUUCUGAGAAACAGUAUCCUUCCUGAACUCUGGACUAUCCUCAAAUCUGGCUAUUUCCCUGAUGUGUUUACCUGCUUCUGCCACUGAUCCAAAUUGCAGAACUUCUCAUUCGUCCUAAGACCUCCAGACGGCAUCCACCAGGGAACUGACUCUAAAAGGAACCAGACCAACAUUUUCCAGCCCCUUCACUCUGUAGCUACCUCUAUGUGAGGAAAGGAGAGAAAACGUUCAGGACAUCGUCAUGCAAAGUUCCAGUAGCAGUGACGCCUACACGGAAGACUUGGAACUGCAGAGGCUGGGGUCACCUCAGUGACAUCUGAUGCUGUCCAACCAGAAGUUCGAUUUUUGUUUUGGGGUGGUGGGGUGAGGAAGCACACUGUAUACUGAAGGACUAAAAUAAUUUCUUGUCUACAAUUUCGAAAGCACUUGUUUUAAUUUCUUUGGCGGGAGAGGGGGUGUUCGGGUAGAAUUGCACGUCAUAUCUGGAGUUAAGGGGAGGAUGGGGAAGCUCAGCCCUUCACCCAAGAAUAACCCAGCAAUGACAUCUCUGCGCGUGGGAAGUGUUUCCCUCAGCACUGGGAGGAUCUGAGGCUGCACCCCAGUGGGAUUCCCUGCUUGAGUUGGAAGGCUAACUCAGAGCUAGAUGCAUAUCACAGCGAGAGUGCGGAAGGUUUAGCUGGGAUGAAGUACCAGAAGAGACAGACACUCCAAGUAGAAGGGGCUUCCCCCAAUUUGGAGGUCGGAGCUGUGCUGCGCAUAAGGGACUGAAGAGCCAGGUGACCGCCGUGGCCUGUGCCUUCCGUUGAGGGUCUGAUAGGGACGCGACGCUGCUGGGCACGGUGUCUGAAUCACGGGAGACAGCCCGGCCGUGCCCAGCGAGCCAGCGCCAGACCCUGGCGUCCUCCAUCUUCUCUCCUGAGCUCCCCCUGCUCCAGCUGCCUGAGCCACGGAC
ensembl:lncRNA